UACGUAGGGUGCGAGCGUUAAUCGGAAUACUGGGCGUAAAGCGUGCGCAGGCGGCUUUGCAAGACAGAUGUGAAAUCCCCGGGCUCAACCUGGGAACUGCAUUUGUGACUGCAUGGCUGGAGUGCGGCAGAGGGAUGGAAUUCCGCGUGUAGCAGUGAAAUGCGUAGAUAUGCGGAGGAACACCGAUGGCGAAGGGCAGUCCC
rnacentral:rRNA from 1 species